ensembl:lncRNA
CCUGGGCUUCUGCUCAUCUUUCCUCAGGAGACAGUCCCACACCAGUCCCAGAGAGUUACCCAAAUGCAAGGGCAAGAUCUGUGCUAAUAUAGCAUUCUCGGUGCCUUGGUUUCUGCGAAGCAUCAACAUGAAUUAGCCAUAGACUGAGCUGGAAGAGGUGGCACCCUAUCAGUUACCACAUUUUAACAGGAGACUGAAGUGGGAUAUCCAGUUUUUUCCCCCUGCCUGCCAGCAGGCAGCCCAGCAGAGGUGUCAGGAGACCUAGAAGAGCUGGUUGAGAAGCUAAUGAAUGCCAUGGACCUUACCUCCUGCACCAAAAGAUUUGCUAACAAUCUCAAGGGUUUCAGGACCUCUCACCCCAUGGCGCCCACCCACAGACACCAGGCAGAUUCUUAACCAGCUGAGCCACAAGGGAAGCCCAAGAAUCCUGGAGUGGGUAGCCUGUCCCUUCUUCAGCAUUUCCAGCUUUAUUGUGAUAUAAUUGACAUAUAGCCCUGCAGUUGCAACUGUGAGCUCCGCGAACCGCUUAUCACACAGCCUGGAUGGCUUCCCAGAACUGUGACCCAGCUGCUGGCAGCGUCGCCACCGCCAGUAAAGGAGCUGAGCCCAGCAGGGGUGCUGCCCGGGGCCCCGUGGGCAAGAGGCUACAACAGGAGCUGAUGACUCUCAUGAUGUAUGGCGAUAAAGGAAUUUCUGCCUUCC